rnacentral:rRNA from 3 species
CUUUUACAAUGAAGAGUUUGAUCCUGGCUCAGGAUGAACGCUAGCUACAGGCUUAACACAUGCAAGUCGAGGGGCAGCAUUUCAGUUUGCUUGCAAACUGGAGAUGGCGACCGGCGCACGGGUGAGUAACACGUAUCCAACCUGCCGAUAACUCGGGGAUAGCCUUUCGAAAGAAAGAUUAAUACCCGAUGGUAUAAUCAGACCGCAUGGUCUUGUUAUUAAAGAAUUUCGGUUAUCGAUGGGGAUGCGUUCCAUUAGGCAGUUGGUGAGGUAACGGCUCACCAAACCUUCGAUGGAUAGGGGUUCUGAGAGGAAGGUCCCCCACAUUGGAACUGAGACACGGUCCAAACUCCUACGGGAGGCAGCAGUGAGGAAUAUUGGUCAAUGGGCGCAGGCCUGAACCAGCCAAGUAGCGUGAAGGAUGACUGCCCUAUGGGUUGUAAACUUCUUUUAUAUGGGAAUAAAGUUUUCCACGUGUGGAAUUUUGUAUGUACCAUAUGAAUAAGGAUCGGCUAACUCCGUGCCAGCAGCCGCGGUAAUACGGAGGAUCCGAGCGUUAUCCGGAUUUAUUGGGUUUAAAGGGAGCGUAGGUGGACAGUUAAGUCAGUUGUGAAAGUUUGCGGCUCAACCGUAAAAUUGCAGUUGAUACUGGCUGUCUUGAGUACAGUAGAGGUGGGCGGAAUUCGUGGUGUAGCGGUGAAAUGCUUAGAUAUCACGAAGAACUCCGAUUGCGAAGGCAGCUCACUGGACUGCAACUGACACUGAUGCUCGAAAGUGUGGGUAUCAAACAGGAUUAGAUACCCUGGUAGUCCACACAGUAAACGAUGAAUACUCGCUGUUUGCGAUAUACAGUAAGCGGCCAAGCGAAAGCAUUAAGUAUUCCACCUGGGGAGUACGCCGGCAACGGUGAAACUCAAAGGAAUUGACGGGGGCCCGCACAAGCGGAGGAACAUGUGGUUUAAUUCGAUGAUACGCGAGGAACCUUACCCGGGCUUAAAUUGCAUUUGAAUAUAUUGGAAACAGUAUAGCCGUAAGGCAAAUGUGAAGGUGCUGCAUGGUUGUCGUCAGCUCGUGCCGUGAGGUGUCGGCUUAAGUGCCAUAACGAGCGCAACCCUUAUCUUUAGUUACUAACAGGUCAUGCUGAGGACUCUAGAGAGACUGCCGUCGUAAGAUGUGAGGAAGGUGGGGAUGACGUCAAAUCAGCACGGCCCUUACGUCCGGGGCUACACACGUGUUACAAUGGGGGGUACAGAAGGCAGCUACCUGGUGACAGGAUGCUAAUCCCAAAAGCCUCUCUCAGUUCGGAUCGAAGUCUGCAACCCGACUUCGUGAAGCUGGAUUCGCUAGUAAUCGCGCAUCAGCCAUGGCGCGGUGAAUACGUUCCCGGGCCUUGUACACACCGCCCGUCAAGCCAUGAAAGCCGGGGGUACCUGAAGUACGUAACCGCAAGGAGCGUCCUAGGGUAAAACUGGUAAUUGGGGCUAAGUCGUAACAAGGUAGCCGUACCGGAAGGUGCGGCUGGAACACCUCCUUUCU